CCUCCCCCUCACUCCAGCAGGCCCCGCCUUCCCCCUCCUCUUUACGUGAAUCAGCUGAUUUGAGCGUCCCUAGAAGCCGGCGAGGAUCUUGGCGGUUAAAACGACGGCGCGCGGCUGUAGUGAUUUUGAAACACAGAAGCAUCAGCUGCUGAAUUUGUGUUUUGUUUCCAACUUGAUGGUGUUUAAAACUAUCUCAUUCCAUUAUCGGAGGAAUGAUAUUGUGAUGGGGUAUUCUUACUGACUAAUGGACUCAAAGGAGAAAAGCUCAUCAGAGCAAGAAGGAAUGAGAGAAAGGGGCCUGGUCUAUACGUGGCAGGCGGGCGGCUGCUGUCCAGCACCAGAAAGCCUCCCUGGCUGGAGUGGAAAGACAGUAUUGCAGGUGGCACUUGGCACAAACCAUGGCGUGCUUCUGUCA